rnacentral:rRNA from 1 species
AGAGUUUGAUCAUGGCUCAGGAUAAACGCUGGCGGCGCACAUAAGACAUGCAAGUCGAACGAACUUAACCAGAAAUUUAUUUUUGGAGAGGUUAGUGGCGGACUGGUGAGUAACGCGUAAGCAAUCUACCUAUUAGAGGGGAAUAACAGUGAGAAAUCAUUGCUAAUACCGCAUAUGCCAUGAACAUCGCAUGAUGAAAAUGGGAAAGGAGAAAUCUGCUAAUAGAUGAGCUUGCGUCUGAUUAACUAGUUGGUGUGGUAAUGGCAUACCAAGGUAACGAUCAGUAGCCGGACUGAGAGGUUGAACGGCCACAUUGGGACUGAGAUACGGCCCAGACUCCUACGGGAGGCAGCAGUCGGGAAUAUUGCGCAAUGGAGGAAACUCUGACGCAGUGACGCCGCGUAUAGGAAGAAGGUUUUCGGAUUGUAAACUAUUGUCGUUAGGGAAGAUAAAAGACAGUACCUAAGGAGGAAGCUCCGGCUAACUACGUGCCAGCAGCCGCGGUAAUACGUAGGGAGCAAGCGUUAUCCGGAUUUAUUGGGUGUAAAGGGUGCGUAGACGGGAAAUUAAGUUAGUUGUGAAAUCCCUCGGCUCAACUGAGGAACUGCAACUAAAACUGGUUUUCUUGAGUGCAGGAGAGGUAAGUGGAAUUCCUAGUGUAGCGGUAAAAUGCGUAGAUAUUAGGAGGAAUACCAGUGGCGAAGGCGACUUACUGGACUGUAACUGACGUUGAGGCACGAAAGUGUGGGGAGCAAACAGGAUUAGAUACCCUGGUAGUCCACACCGUAAACGAUGGAUAC